rnacentral:lncRNA from 1 species
GCCGUCUAUUUGUUUUUCAAUGGUUAUAGCUUUCACAAACAGAUUAAAAUGGUUUCUGAUUGAAUUCAAAUGUUCAAGAGGUGAAGUUUUGUUUGACAAACAGAUUUACAGCUCAUGCAAUAAAGAGAUACGACAAAAACUAGUCUGGUACCCACACAACAUACUUAUAUGGCUAAUUUGGAGAUUAUCGUUGAGCGAAAAAUAAAAUGUAGAUGGUGUAUAAAGUAUUAAUUAAAGACUCUAUGAUAUAAAAAAUACAGAUCAUACCUUGGAAGCAGUACGUAAACAAAACAAAAUAUCUAUGAAUAUGAUAUAUCUCCCCAAAAGAGGCGUGGUUUGUCAAACAGCUGUAUUUACAGGUGCAAUCUUUAGAUAGAAGAUAAAAUAUCGAUACAUUGUAGAUGUCUACGGACUGUUUUUUUUUUAUUGGUAUGUCAUAUUUGUAUUUUGAAGAAAACUAAGUCUUACAAAAAUGUUUUGCCUUGAGACAGAAAAUAAAUAUCUUGAUACUUUGUU